AGAAUACAAACAAAGAUUUUUAGAAGAAUAUCUCAGCUCUGUAAGUCCAUUCAAUGCAAGUGAAUGAUGGCCAGACAUUUGAAGGUCCAAAAAGCAUAUAAAGUAAGCAUAAAAGUAAUCUAUACGACUCCUUUGGUUAAAUCCAUGUCUUCAGAAGCGAUAUGAUAGGCGUGGGUGAGAAACUGAUCCAUUUUUAAGCCUUUAUUUACUGUAAAUCUCCACUUUCACUUUCAAAUUCUUCUUAUUUUGUUUUUGACGAUUCACUUUCUUCGUGCAUAUCACCACCUACUGAGCUGGGAGGACAAUUAAAAAUGACUUAAAUUGAUCUCUUCUGACACUGAUCUGACAUUAAACAUGAGCUUUUUAAAAUGCAAUUUCAUCUGGAAAGAGCACCCCCUACUGUAGAUAUCAUUGGUGGUACUAUUUUACAGUAUAGUAAACCAUUCAUUUUGAGUAAAAAGAUGGCAACUAGAAUGUUUACUAAUUGUAUUUGUUUGAAACAAAUACAGAAUCAUUGUUUUCAUUUAAAAAAAAAAAAAAUGCCUGGUGGUCAAAAAAUGUGCAAAAAAACCCCAUAAACUUGCAUUGAAAAUGUCCCCACACAUAAAUGUAUAUAGGGAUCAGGAUGUCAUAGAGACUUGGGAAUGGUCUCUUUUGACUUUCAGCCAUUUAGUAAUGCCCUAGCAACCACCUAGCAAUAACCUAGUUAUCACUCAAAACACCCUGACAUUAGGUAAAUAUAAUCAAGUACCAAAAAAUUUAAUAAUUUUGGGGGGGUUUUACUUAUAUAUUUAUUAAUUGUUGUGGAGAAUCCAGACAGAGGCGUUUUGACCAAAUACAAGAUUAAUAUUAGUUUUUAUAAUGUUUCUAAUUCUUAAACUGGUCAAAAAUGACCCGAACAUAACAGUAGGGUUGAGUGCAGAAUAGAAAAUUGAGGCAACUUCCACAGGGUGCCUAGAACUCCUCCAAAGGGUUCCACCAAUGGUAUCCCGACUAUGUUUUGUCAUGCUUACAGUGUGGACAACUUCAUAUACGAAAGACGUCCUCCUGGACCUAUUUUUUUGCUUAAAUUACUUCACACUGUUGCCCUCAUGCAGUAUAGUAUAGUGCAGCAUAGGAUAAUAAAGUGCUACAUGUGAUAUUCAUCACAAUCAAAACAUGGAAUGAGAUGCUUCCAGAUAGAUUGGAGAAUUGCCUCCCCCAUCCAGUCCCCACCUCUCUCUUCUAGUCUUUAACAGAUUACCCAGGAGUUAAAGGAGUAUGCACUGUACCCUGUGCAGUCUUUGUAUUAGGCUUAGAGCCACAGAGGAAGCAGAUGGGAUAAGAAAACCAGGGGAUCUAAUUACACAAGCUUAUUCAGCAAGCCAAGGCCCGACCAGAAGCAGGUAAAGCCAGCUGCAAAGCUUAAAGCCACUGUCCCCUCGCAGUUCCUCUUUCAGCUGCAAGAAGCUCUUAGCUCAGGGAUUGGAGACAACUACUUUUAUUUAACAUGGAGAAUGAGGAAGAGGAAGAUGAAAUCUUUGCAACAGGGCAGGGAGGAUAUGAAGGGCAGGAGAAUAUGGAGGAGCAGGAGGAAGAGGAAGAAGAAGAGGAGCCAGAGACUGGGAGAAAGAGCAGUUUGGAUAUCCCGAUUCCAAUUCAGUCGCUGGCCAGCCGCAGAGCUUCACUUCCUUGCCCAGCUCAGCUGAAUGCAAUGCAUUUGAGUCGUCUGCAUGCUGCCACCAUGGCCCCUAGCCCAGCUUACCUGAGCGGUGAAGCGAGGCCGUGCUCUCGUUCUAGUCAUGGUGGCAAUGGUGAGGAGGGAGCGCAUGCCAAAGGCAGAGCUUCUGAAAGACGACCACCUGCUGUCCCCACCAUCCCUGAGGUCCACGAGCCCCUGGAGAGAAAAGCUAGAUUUAGGAGCCGAAAUGUCAUGUCUCUGAGUGAUGCUUACAGUGUGUGUUUGAUCUGCCAUGACGACCUACGCAAAGGAGGAGUAGCUAUCAGAGAGCUUCACUGUUCCCACAGUUUUCACAGCGAGUGCAUAGAGGAGUGGCUGUGGACCAAGCAGACCUGUCCUACAUGUCGAAAGCAUGUUGCCAUGCCGGAGCCCCUCUACUGGACAUCUACCAGAGUAAUAGUGCCCUGAGCUCUUCAAGCACCCAUACAAACCAUCCGCUUUUUUAUGGGAUGUAUAGCAAAGAUCUUCUGUCUCCAAAAGAUUGGAUAUAAGUCGCACAAUGGAUUUAAAAGGAACAGCCGUUGUUCAUAUUACACUGUUCUGUUGCAUUCUAGCAUUAUUCCUCUAACACGGCAAGAAAGACCCAUUUACAGAGACUCUAAGUUCUAAAUCUGUGGUGCUUCAAAAUGGUAUUAGAAAGGUGCUUCAUAAAGGUUUGCGAACAUUUGCAAAGGGGAGAUUGUGUAAGUCAGGAGAAACAUCACAUUAGGCUUAUUUUUCUCACAACUGCAUGAAAAGCUGUUUUUAUUAUUAUUAUUUAUUAUAAGGAAUGUCUCAUUUUCUACCUUGAAUAUUUUUUUCUGGAGACAAAUUUACAAGCUUUAUCAUGCAAAUGUAAAAUGUACCUUACUAUAUUUGUGAAUAUUUUAGAGUUUUAUAUUAUUAUUAUUAUAUAAAACUUCUGUUUUACAAUGUAACUAAUGUAAAUAUAUACAUCGACAAAGGUGUAGGCCCGAAGUGUAUAUUCAUACGUUGUCUACACACAUCUUUAAGAGUCCAGUGUGAAUGUAAUACAUCAUGAGAGCAUGUUUAGGUCUAAACAAUAAAGGUAAACAAAAUCUGUGUUAUCGAUUAUGCUAUUGGUUUCAGUACGUCGAACGUGAUGACGUCGCAUAAUCGUUGCCGUGGCUACAUACGGAAGUUAUCGAAUGCACCUGUUACACUUUCGAACAGGAAAGGGAACAAAUCAAUACAUUUUCUUUGAACAGAGUUGCUUUGUGCCACGUCUAUGACAUCGGUUUUAUUGGAUCGAUUUUUAUUUUUUAUUUUAAUAUCGUGAAUCUGAACAUUAAUGGAUAAAUUAAAGAAAGUUUUGAGUGGCCAAGACGACAAUGGCGACCUCAACGUACUGCAGGUAGUAACGAUUAACAGUUUACAGCCCGCUAGCUCGAUUAAGUUGUAGUUGCGUUAUAUUCUCAAUCAAAUCUAAUUGUGGCUACUUCAAAUUUGUAUCUAGACCUGUACAUCUGUACAUACCAUGUGUUUACCCGGCUGUCAUAACAUUGUAAUAAUAAUUUCUAUAAAAAGCAUAGUAACUGCGGAGGAGAUGUCAUGUUUAGAAAUCUGAAAUCGAUUUUAAUUGUCUGAUUUUUGUAAAAACAUACACUGGCGGCCAAAAGUUUGGAAUAACGUACAGAUUUGGCUGUUUCGGAAGGAAAUUGGUACUUUAAUUCACCAGAGUGGCAUUCAACUGAUCACAAAGUAUAGUCAGGACAUUACUGAUGUAAAAAACAGCACCAUCACUAUGUCACGUCAACUAUCAAAUCUAGACCGGACCCAUUUCCAGCAACCAUCACUCCAACACCUUAUCCUUGAGUAAUCAUGCUAAAUUGCUAAUUUGGUACUAGAAAAUCACUUGCCAUUAUAUCAAACACAGUUGAAAGCUAUUUGGUUCGUUAAAUGAAGCUUAACAUUGUCUUUGUGUUUGUCACUGUAUGCAAUAGACUGGCAUGUCUUAAGGUCAAUAUUAGGUCAAAAUGGCAAAAAAGAAACAGCUUUCUCUAGAAACUCGUCAGUCAAUCAUUGCUUUGAGGAAUGAAGGCUAUCCAAUGCUUGAAAUUGCCAAAAAACUGAAGAUUUCAUACAAAGGUGUACACUACAGUCUUCAAAGACAGGACAACCGACUCUAACAAGGACAGAAAGAGAUGUGGAAGGCCAGAUGUACAACUAAACAAGAGGAUAAGUACAUCAGAGUCUCUAGUUUGAGAAAUAGACACCUCACAUGUCCUCAGCUGACAGCUUCAUUGAAUUCUACCCGCUCAACACCAGUUUCAUGUACAACAGUAAAGAGAAGACUCAGGGGUGCAGGCCUUAUGGGAAGAAUUGCAAAGAAAAAGCCACUUUUGAAACAGAAAAACAAAAAGAAAAGGUUAGUGGGCAAAGAAACACAGACAUUGGACAACAGGUAAUUGGAAAAGAGUGUUAUGGAUCUUAACCCCAUUGAGCUUUUGUGGGAUCAGCUAGACUGUAAGGUGCGUGAGAAGUGCCCGACAAGACAGCCACAUCUAUGGCAGGUGCUACAGGAAGUGUGGGGUGAAAUGUCACCUGAGUAUCUGGACAAACUGACAGCUAGAAUGCCAAGGAUCUGCAAAGCUGUCAUUGCUACACGUGGAGGAUUUUUUGAUGAAAACUCUUCAAAUUGUAAUAGUAAUUUUUCACAUUAUUAAUGUCCUGACUAUACAUUGUUGAAUGCCACUUUGGUGAAUAAAAGUACCAAUUUCUUUCCAUAAGAGCAAAAUCUGUACAUUAUUCCAAACUUUUGGCCGCCAGUGUAUGUUUACAUGAAUAUAACACGGCUGUUGUAGGCAGCGAAUGAAGCAUCAACACUGGGAUGGGGCACGCGCGUCAAGGGAUUCGUCGCGUGCUUUCUGGUGGGCAUCGUGUGUUCAGUUUUGGGGACGUGCUUGCUUUGGGUUCCUAAAAGCGGACUGACACUUUUUGCAGUCUUCUACAGUUUGGGCAAUAUUGCCUCACUUUUGAGAGACCUUCUGACCUGUACACAUUUACAAGAGUCUGCUGAGGUCCUCUCUGUGAUACAUUACAGUUUUAUGAUUUUCUUUUUUUACAUGACAACAAAUGGUUUCCUGCAUGUUAAUUAUACCACAAUGUGUGUUUUGGCUGGCAGUUUUUGUUUUGUUUUUUUGUUUUUUUCAUUUUGAAACUGCUUAACUUCCUUGUUUAAAGACAUAAUAAUGAAAGAUUAAUGAAAAUAAUGAAAGCCUUUAAUCAGGAUUUUUUCCUUGUAAUCUCAGGGUGGUUACACCAACUAGACAUUUUUACUUGAUGCCCCACGAAAAAUAUCAAAAUGAAUUUUUAUUUAGAAUUUGAAAACAUGUUCAUAAUAGAAGAGGUGUAUUAAUGUAUGUAUAUAAAUUGUAUAUUAAAUGCAAUUUUGAAUAAAUAUACCAUAUCUGGACAAAUAAAAUCAUUGUCAUGUCUUUGACCCAUGUACCGUAUGCACUGAAGUGCAGCAUCUAUAUGGGAAUCUAUAAGCCUGAGAAGGU